AGACAUCUCAACCCUUCUCUCUUUCUCUCUCUAGAGCCGCUCUCUUUCUGAAACAACAUAAGUUAGAAAUACACUUGGUCCAAUCUGUUUGGUAACUGAAUUUCCAUUUGCUAAUCCAAUAAACACAAUUGAAAGAACAAAGAAAAAAGGUAGUGGGGAGGCAUAGUCCGCACUCUGUUCUUAUUCUUCUUAUUGUGCCUCCCCUCAGAUCUUAGUUUUCUGCAAGAUUAGGCAUCUGCGUUUUGCUUCAACCGGUUUGCUUAGUUGUGGGUCGGUUACUUGAUCGAUGAACGAUCCGAUGAUUUUGAAUUGAAUCGGAGAUAUUGAUUUUUGUGUUGGAGACAGAGUUGGUCGGCUUGUAGUAAACAUAACAAUAAGGUAUUGGAUUCACAGUCUAAUUGGUUAUUCAUCUGCAUUUCAAUUCACUAGCUUGGAUUCUUAUAGCAAUACCGUGGGUAUCGGAUUUGGUCGUUUUGUGUCGGAGAUAGAGUUGGUGGGCUGGUGAUAAACAUAUAAACAAGGUGUUGGAUUCAUAGUUGGAUUGGUUAUUCAUCUGCAUUUCAAUUCACUGGUAUGGAUUCUUAUGACCGAUAUGGCGGCAAUGCUUUGAGAACAAUGCAAUCUGAUAGUGGUAAGUUAUUUAUCGGUGGAAUAUCUUGGGACACAAAUGAAGAGCGUCUCAAGGAGUAUUUUAGUUCAUAUGGGGAGGUGGUAGAAGCUGUUAUUAUGAAGGAUCGGACAACAGGUCGUGCUCGAGGUUUUGGCUUUGUUGUUUUUGCGGACUCAGCUGUUGCAGACAGGGUCAUAAAGGAGAAGCAUAACAUUGAUGGAAGGAUGGUUGAGGCAAAAAAGGCCGUUCCUAGGGAUGACCAAAACAUUUUGAGUAGAAACAGUGGUAGUAUCCAUGGCUCUCCUGGUCCUGGCCGAACUAGAAAGAUAUUUGUUGGAGGUUUGGCAUCCACAGUCACUGAGAGUGACUUCAAGAAGUACUUUGAUCAGUUUGGGACAAUCACAGAUGUUGUGGUGAUGUAUGAUCACAACACCCAGAGGCCUAGAGGCUUUGGAUUCAUUACUUAUGAUUCAGAGGAAGCUGUGGACAAGGUUUUGGUCAGGAGCUUUCAUGAACUAAACGGUAAAAUGGUCGAGGUCAAGCGUGCAGUUCCCAAAGAGUUUUCACCAGGUCCCAGUCGCAGUCCACUUGGUGGAUACAACCAUGGCCUGAAUAGGGUCAAUAGCUUCCUUAGUGGCUAUAAUCAAGGAUAUACUCCAAAUACUGUUGGAGGCUAUGGACUUCGAAUGGAUGGUAGAUUAAGUCCAGUUGCUGGUGGUAGAAGUGGCUUUCCUCCAUUUGGUUCUGGUUAUGGAAUGGGUAUAAAUUUUGAGCCAGGGUUGAGCCCAGGAUUUGGGGGGAGUGCAAAUUUUAAUAGUAAUCUGAGCUAUGGACGGGGAUUAAACCCUUAUUUUGUUGGUAACUCGAAUAGGUUUAGUAGUCCAAUUGGGUAUGACGGUCGUAAUGGGGGAAACUCCUCCUUUUUCAGCUCAGUUACGCGAAAUCUUUGGGGGAAUGGAGGGCUUAAUUAUGGAACCAACUCUGCAAGUUCCAGUGCAUACCAGGGAUCAGGACGUGGGAGCAUUGCAGAAGGUACAUUUGCUAAUGCUGGAGUUAACUGGGGAUCUUCGGGAAUUUCUACUCAAGUUGGAAAUAAUGUUUCUAAUAAUAGUGGGAACAUUGGUUAUGGAGGUGGUGAUAACAGUUAUGGUUUGGGAACGGGAGGUUACGGAAGAAACAGUGGUACUAAUGUGGCCCAAACAUCAUCUUAUCCUCCAUCAAAUGGUGGUUUUGAUGGGGCCUUUGCUGACUUCUAUAGUGGUGGUUCAGGAUAUGGGGACGCUACUUGGCGAUCAUCAAAUGCUGAACGAGAUGGAUCUGGUCCCUUUGGCUAUGGGCUCAGUAGUGCUGCUUCUGAUGUCUCUGCUAAAACUCCUCCUGGUUAUGUUGGUGGUUAUAGUGUUAAUAAGAGAGAGUCAAAUAGAGGUUGAUAUAUCAAGUUGAUAUCCCUUAAGUGAAAUGUUCAUGACUGUCUCUGCCCUAGUCUACACAUUCUUGUAAGGAAUUGCUGCUUAGGAGGAUCAUUUGGAUUUCACAAUGUUGUAGGCGAAGAUAAUCUGGUGAAGCAGGUGAAUUGUGAAUUUCACACAACCCAUGGUUUAUAUAUUUCAGUUAAAACUUUUAAGGAGAUUUGGUUAUGUAGGGCUAACUGAGUGCCUGAGUUGAAGAAUCAAAUUUAGAUAUAGAAGUUACAGGGAUUUUGUGUUAAGGCUUGGGUUUUUGAGUUACCAUUUUUAGGUUUUUUUCUUUUCGGUACUUGAGUGAGAUGUAAAAUCAGAUUGCGGGAUGUAGUCGGGAAGUGUAUUAUGCAUCUCUGGUGAGGCGGCAAUACAUAAACAGAUAGAUUUUGAUAGUUUUUGUUUCCAUAUUUUGAUAUGUAAUUUCUCUGGCAAAGUUGUGGGUUCUGGUCAGGGAUGCAUUAUUUUCUCUUUGUUCCCAUCAAUUUGGUUUGUUUUUUUUGGCAGUUUGUACUGAGGUUCUUGUUCGAUUACUAGUGUGAAACAUUUCGGGGAUACCUAUCUUGGGAUCCCGUGAAUAAGUUACUCAAGAUGCUGAUUCUUUUUUUCUUUCUUGAGAAUAUUUUUAAGAUACAAUUUCAGACUCUUUUUGGUC